CUCCAACCUCAGCGCCCCACUCAGUGAGCUCCCUCCCGCAGCUCUUCCUCCUCUUCCCCGCAGCUCUGGGCACGGCAGGGGACGGGAACGCCGGGCUCCGUCACUCCGGUGGGGUUAUGUGUGUAGCAGUGGCUUCACCAUCCGUCCCAGCGAUUUGUUGUCUUAUAUUUAGCCAAACAGUCUCAGUUUGCCAAAAAUAGAGCAGCCAUGGAAAUAGGCUGACUGGAGGUGCCAACGCUGCCUGGCUGAAGCUAAUUAGUUUCUUCUAUCCCCAGCUCUAUGCAUCCUCACCUUCCCCCUACGGAGCAUCCUGUCUGCCCGAAGAGUGUUUGUAAUUAGUGGGUAUUAUGCCUAAAUCUGGGGGAUGCGCAGGAGGUUUCGUGUGGAGGGGGAAAGCAGAGGGAUGCCCCCGGGACACCUCGGCAAGGAAGGAACAAAAUCCAUCUCCACAGAGUAUGGAGAGUGGGAAGGUGGAGAACACAGAGCUGGUGAGGAAGAGGAAAGGGGGCACAAAGUCUCUGCAGGAAACCCUAUUGCAGGGAAGCAUAUAGGAGCUUCUCAUACAGGAUUUUCUCCUUCCCAGCAUGUGGGAGCCUCGGUGGACUUGCUGACUCUCAUUUCUUAUAUUGGAACCAUCAAGCUUGCUGGGAGACACUUGGAAGAACAGGCUGUCCCAUGGCAACACCGAGCCCAGACCUGAAGCCCUGAGUAAUGCUCCUCUGCUCUGUGACUGGGGUCAAGCGUCUGCUACCAGCUCUUCAGUCAGCGCAAUCAAGGAGCACGUGAGCGAGGGCCCAGCUGAGCUCACAGGGCUCAGUGGGCUGGAACUGCCCCUGCAGAGCUCGGGCCUGAGGCACAUUGCCCCGGCUGGGGCACGAUGACUGCAGCGGGGGUGAGAGCCAUCCUCGGUGACCCAGGGCGAGCAGUUCUUUGUGGAGGAGCAGCAAAGGGAAGACCCAGAGGCCCUCCCCUAACCCUGGUCAAUGAGUACCUGGUCAUGUGUGCUGCAGAGCCAGCGCAGCUCGGGGUGACGUUACCAUCACGCUCCCUUCAUGCCACUGGCUGCAGGAACCAGCAUGUUUCCCGCAGGCUCUGGCAUGGCUCUGGCUUCCAUCCUUGCCCAUCUCCUCGAGUUAAAGGGGAGAUGUCUCCAGGA
rnacentral:lncRNA from 1 species